ensembl:snRNA U6 U6 spliceosomal RNA
AUGCUUACUUCGGCAGCACAUAUAUUAAAAUUGGAACGAUACAGAGAAGAUUAGCAUAGCCGCUACACAAGGAUGACAUGCAAAUUUGUGAAGCUUUCCAUAUUUUU